rnacentral:lncRNA from 1 species
AAUCUAAAGGAAGAUUAAAAUUAUUAGAUCUCCUGUACAUAAUUCCUAAGUGAAAUGGCACCUUAAAAUUGUAUAUAAGAAAUUUGCUAAACUGAUGCAAUUUGUGAUUAAACAACAAGAACUACAGGUCUCCUGUACAUAAUUCCUAAGUGAAAGGGCACUUUAAAAUUGUAUAUAAGAAAUUUGCUAAACUGAUGCAAUUUGUAAUUAAACGACAAGAACUACAGGUCUCCUGUACAUAAUUUCUAAGUGAAAUGGCACUUUAAAAUUGUAUAUAAG